AACGAACGCUGGCGGCAUGCCUAACACAUGCAAGUCGAACGAGACCUUCGGGUCUAGUGGCGAACGGGUGCGUAACGCGUGGGAACCUGCCCUUAGGUUCGGAAUAACUCCCCGAAAGGGGUGCUAAUACCGGAUAAUGUCUUCGGACCAAAGAUUUAUCGCCUUUGGAUGGGCCCGCGUUGGAUUAGCCAGUUGGUAGGGUAAAAGCCUACCAAGGCGACGAUCCAUAGCUGGUCUGAGAGGAUGAUCAGCCACACUGGGACUGAGACACGGCCCAGACUCCUACGGGAGGCAGCAGUGGGGAAUAUUGGACAAUGGGCGAAAGCCUGAUCCAGCAAUGCCGCGUGAGUGAUGAAGGCCUUAGGGUUGUAAAGCUCUUUUACCCGGGAUGAUAAUGACAGUACCGGGAGAAUAAGCUCCGGCUAACUCCGUG
rnacentral:rRNA from 1 species